rnacentral:rRNA from 1 species
UACGUAGGGUGCGAGCGUUGUCCGGAAUUAUUGGGCGUAAAGAGCUCGUAGGCGGUGUGUCACGUCGGCCGUGAAAACCUGCAGCUUAACUGUGGGCGUGCGGUCGAUACGGGCAUCACUGGAGUUCGGCAGGGGAGACUGGAAUUCCUGGUGUAGCGGUGAAAUGCGCAGAUAUCAGGAGGAACACCGGUGGCGAAGGCGGGUCUCUGGACCGAUGCUGACGCUGAGACGCGAAAGCGUGGGGAGCAAACAGG